UGCCAGACUCCUACGGGAGGCAGCAGUGGGGGAUAUUGCACAAUGGGGGGAACCCUGAUGCAGCGACGCCGCGUGGGUGAAGAAGCGCCUCGGCGCGUAAAGCCCUGUCAGCAGGGAAGAAAAUGACGGUACCUGAAGAAGAAGCCCCGGCUAACUACGUGCCAGCAGUCGCGGUAAUACGUAGGGGGCAAGCGUUAUCCGGAUUUACUGGGUGUAAAGGGGGCGCAGACGGCGAUGCAAGCCAGGAGUGAAAGCGCGGGGCCCAACCCCGGGACUGCUCUUGGAACUGCGUGGCUGGAGUGCAGGAGGGGCAGGCGGAAUUCCUGGUGUAGCGGUGAAAUGCGUAGAUAUCAGGAGGAACACCGGUGGCGAAGGCGGCCUGCUGGACGAUGACUGACGUUGAGGCUCGAAAGCGUGGGGAGCAAACAGGAUUAGAUACCCUGGUA
rnacentral:rRNA from 1 species